rnacentral:rRNA from 1 species
CCUACGGGAGGCAGCAGUGAGGAAUAUUGGUCAAUGGUCGGGAGACUGAACCAGCCAAGCCGCGUGAGGGAGGAAGGUACAGAGUAUCGUAAACCUCUUUUGUCAGGGAACAAAGGCGGGGACGUGUCCCCGGAUGAGUGUACCUGAAGAAAAAGCAUCGGCUAACUCCGUGCCAGCAGCCGCGGUAAUACGGAGGUUGCGAGCGUUAUCCGGAUUUAUUGGGUUUAAAGGGUGCGCAGGCGGUCUGUUAAGUCAGCGGUAAAAGCCCGGGGCUCAACCCCGGCCCGCCGUUGAAACUGGCAGUCUCGAGUUGGAGAGAAGUAUGCGGAAUGCGGGGUGUAGCGGUGAAAUGCAUAGAUAUCGCGCAGAACUCCGAUUGCGAAGGCAGCAUGCCGGCUCCACACUGACGCUGAGGCACGAAAGCGUGGGUAUCGAACAGGAUUAGAUACCCCUGUAGUC